CCUACGGGUGGCUGCAGUAGGGAAUGUUCGGCAAUAGGGGGAACCCUGACCGAGCAACGCCGCGUGAACGAAGAAGUUAUUCGGAAUGUAAAGUUCUGUUAACAGGGAAGAAAGAGAAAUUGGACGGUACCUGAAGAAUAAGCUCCGGCUAACGCCGUGCCAGCAGCCGCGGUAAUACGGAGGGAGCGAGCGUUCUCCGGAAUUAUUGGGCGGAAAGGGUGCGUCGAUGGCAUAGGAAGUCUUUUGUAAAAGGCUGGGCUCAACCCAGGAGGGCAAACGAUACUGCAAAGCUAGAGUAUGCCAGAGGCAAGUGGCACUACAUGUGUAGCGGUUAAAUGCGUACCUAUAUGUCAGAACCCCAGUGGCGAAGGCGGCUUGCUGGGUCGAUCCUGACAUUGAGGCACGACAGCGUGGUGAGCAAACAGGAUUAGAUACCCCUGUAGUC
rnacentral:rRNA from 1 species